rnacentral:snRNA from 1 species
CGAUAUGAGUGUGAUCUGACUGAGACAUCUGUCACCCCACUGAUCACCGGGAUUGAUUCAACUGAUCUGGCAGGCUAGGCAGGUGUCCCCUUCCUUCCUCACUGCUUCCUGAGGGUCCCUCCUGAAGUGGUGAGCUCGGUAGAAGAAGACAACCUUUCCCGAUAGAGGAGGGCUGUUCUUAGUCAAGGGUUUAUGAGUAGCUGCACUUCCCUGCUAGAACCUCAAAACAAGCUCUCAAGAAUGUGAAACUCUACUAAAGGCUACCUAUCAAGUUGGGACUUAGUAUUUUAUCAAAAAUUUAAUAGGUGAUU